GGUAAUUGAUCUGAAUUCGAUAUUUUUAUUGAUUUAAGUACGUGCGACUACAAAUGGUAUUUAUUUUGUGCGUAAAACAUACCUUUAUAUAGUAGCACAUUAGUUAACAAGAUAAUAGUUUGGAAAAUAUCUCAGCAGGAAAUUAAAAGAGGGCAAAGGCAGUGAAAGUAGCCAACUGUUAACUGAAGAAUAAAAUAGACAAUUAUUUCCGUAGACUUGCGGAGGAUAGACAAAGGCUCGACGAAUGCAGAAGGCAGGAAUCCAGAAGACAAAAUGAUAUGUGGGUGGCAAUGCAAAGAUCACAGGAGGAAUCUAGAAGGCAAAAUGAAAGGAUGGAACAAUUAAGAAGACAACGUGAAUAUGACGACCGCAGAAUAGAGCAAGAAAGGAAACAAAGAGAAUGGAACGAUAAUAGAAUACGGGAGGACAUAAGGAAACAGGAAUUAAGAAAUGCAGAUUGUGUAAUUGUAUAAACACGUUAUUGGACAUUUUGUGUAUGUUGUUGCUGUUUUUGUUGUUUAACUUCUUUUUGAUACGGGAACUAUGUAGACUUUUAAAUUUAAGUAGUGGAAAAAAUCCAACGUGAUCCUCAAGACAUUAUAUCAGACAUGGACAAGCACCUGAGGGGACCAUCUUCUUCCGUAAAGCAAUUAAACUAUUGAGAUAUCAUUAACAUUUAAAGAUGUUGAAGUGAAUAUAAAUACAAAAUUAAAGACGUGGAAGUGAAUAAAAAUUUAAAAUUCAAAGAGUUAAUUAAAUGCUUGUAUUUUGACAUAGUAACUUACAUUCUAAAGAAGGUUGUUGAAACACAAGUAAUGAAUCAAGUGUGGCCUGACAAAAUCACGUUACGAGCGAGACUUCAUCCGUCUACAGUGGUUUUAUGAAAUAGCCUUUUAGAAUGAUUACAUUAAGUAGAUCAGAAGUCCGAUACUCAGAAAAGUUUCAUUGUAUCUCCAUCCUGGUAGAUUUAUUUUAAAAUUCCGAUGCAAUUAUUUUAUUCUCACUGGUUCGAGUUAAUUUUCUUCUGAUGAAAACAAAACAUAGUUUCAUAUUAUUAUAAAAAGAUAGUAUUGAUCUAUUUGUCGCGCAUUGUGAGUUACCCGCACUGGUAGUAAGUCCUAUGGCUACCCAUUUACAGUUUUAAAGACACAGCAUUAAUGCCACAAUAAUAGAAAAAUAGCAUCUGAGAGUUAAGAAAAAAUGUUUAAUAAUAUUGAUUGUUUAACUGAAAUAAUGAUUUUAAAUAAUUACAUUUAUUCAAGAUUCUUUAUUAUGCCGUUACAAAAUAUGUGAUUACCAAAUAUAGAGACAAACCAUAAUCAUCUCACUGUAAAUUGUUUUUUAAUAUUUGAAUAUCGUAUGACUUUGCACCGGUGCUAUACAUGGGCAUAACUCUUAGGAUUUAAUUUGGUGUAAUUAUUUGAUUUCUGUUGGAUUUUAUAUCUACGACCUUGCGUUAAUUAUAAGAUUUAUCUAUUAUAUCUGAAAAUAACGUUAUAAUUACGUCUGCAGUAUUAUACAUCUUGGCAAAAGGUCAUAUUCAAAAGCUUGUAGGCGUGAAAAUGUAACUUUGCUAAUUUCCUCAACCAACCUCAUAAUUUUUUGACAUUGUAUUAGAAUUGUAUUAUUAGAACUUUAUCUUUAAACUGUUAGCAUAAACGGCGUACGUUUUUGAUAUUUCACAUGUUUAGCAUUAUUAUAAAAUAAACCCUUAAAUAGCAGGAUCAUGAAAUACAUUUCAAAAAUGUAAUUUAAUAAAUCUACCAAAUCAAAGAACUUAAAUCAACUAUUUUUAUAAAUCAGUAUGCUAUACAACUAAUGCUAAUAAGGAAUUGGUUCGUUAUAUUUUUAUAACAAACACUGGCUAUAACAAACAUAUUUUAUGUCCCGAGGAGUUCGCUUUAAGUGGAUUUUACUGUGUAUGUAUCAGGUGUAUUCAAUCCAUCCUCUUUGUAUAUAAACAUUAACAUUAUUCUUGUACAUAUCUGUCAUUUUUAUAUGUAACAGUUAACAUAUUACUGUAGGAUGUAAUAAAAAACGCUUAUAUGUUCAUUUUACUUAAUAAAUAAUCUUUGCACCGCUACAAUUACUUUUGAAAUGACAAAUUGAAUUGGGGAGUAGCAGUACGCUACAUAUUGUGUCAAAACGGACAUUUCCCAUACAUUAUUCUAUACAUGUGUUUUAUAUGAAUAUGUCCUUGCAUUCAACGAUGGGAUUGUACUAAAACCCUUACAAUAAGAUA
rnacentral:lncRNA from 1 species